rnacentral:rRNA from 1 species
GACGAACGCUGGCGGCGUGCCUAAUACAUGCAAGUUGAGCGCUGAAGGUUGGUACUUGUACCGACUGGAUGAGCAGCGAACGGGUGAGUAACGCGUGGGGAAUCUGCCUUUGAGCGGGGGACAACAUCUGGAAACGAAUGCUAAUACCGCAUAAAAACUUUAAACACAAGUUUCAAGUUUGAAAGAUGCAAUUGCAUCACUCAAAGAUGAUCCCGCGUUGUAUUAGCUAGUUGGUGAGGUAAAGGCUCACCAAGGCGAUGAUACAUAGCCGACCUGAGAGGGGGGUCGGCCACAUUGGGACUGAGACACGGCCCAAACUCCUACGGGAGGCAGCCGUAGGGAAUCUUCGGCAAUGGACGAAAGUCUGACCGAGCAACGCCGCGUGAGUGAAGAAGGGUUUCGGAUCGUAAAACUCUGUUGGUAGAGAAGAACGUUGGUGAGAGUGGAAAGCUCAUCAAGUGACGGUAACUACCCAGAAAGGGACGGCUAACUACGUG